rnacentral:lncRNA from 1 species
CUCCAAUCUCCCACCGUCCACCCAAGAAAGCCUUAGUUUUCUCGCAAGCAUGUUAACAUCACUCAGGCCCAUCUACCUCAACCACCCUAUUCAACUCACUCUCCCUUAACCAGACCACCAUGAUGCUACUAAUUCCACUUAAAUAUUGAUUACAAAAGUAUAUUAACAAUAACAGAAGUGGAUGCCAUCUUAGAUAACGAGAAAGUAAGUAUGAUUCAGUAGGUAAGUGAUUAAAUACAUAUGAGCAAUAAUCUUCCAUAAAAGUAACAACAAUCAAUUCGGCAAAUCCUAAACAAAUAAUAUCAUUAGUGACUCCAUAAUAUGCACAAAUGUUGUAACUCGAUCCAUUUUUCCUUGAAAAA